rnacentral:rRNA from 1 species
GUCGAGCGAGAAGUGACUUCGGUCGCGAGUAAAGCGGCGAACGGGUGAGUACAACGUGGAUAAUCUACCCUAGGGUCUGGGACAACCCCGAGAAAUCGGGGCUAAUACCGGAUAAGACCACAGUAUCCAAGGAUACAGCGGUAAAAGAUUUAUCGCCUUUGGAUGAGUCCACGCCCCAUCAGGUAGUUGGUAAGGUAAAGGCUUACCAAGCCUAAGACGGGUAGCCGGCCUUAGCGGGUGAACGGCCACAUGGGGACUGAGACACGGCCCUGACUCCUACGGGAGGCAGCAGUGGGGAAUAUUGGGCAAUGGGCGAAAGCCUGACCCAGCGAUGCCGCGUGAGGGAUGAAGGCCUUCGGGUUGUAAACCUCUGUCAGGAGGGACGAUGGGACACUUGUGUCUUGACGGUACCUCCAGAGGAAGCCCCGGCUAACUCCGUGCCAGCAGCCGCGGUAAUACGGAGGGGGCAAGCGUUGCUCGGAAUUACUGGGCGUAAAGGGUCCGCAGGCUGUCAGGCAAGUUGGUUGUGAAAUCCCAAGGCUUAACCUUGGAAUUGCAUCCAAAACUGCCUGACUAGAGUCCAAGAGAGGUUGGCGGAAUUCCCGGUGUAGCGGUGAAAUGCAUAGAUAUCGGGAGGAACACCAGAGGCGAAGGCGGCCAACUGGCUUGGUACUGACGCUCAGGGACGAAAGCGUGGGUAGCAAACCGGAUUAGAUACCCGGGUAGUCCACGCCCUAAACGAUGGAUGCUAGGUAGGGGGAAUUUAAUUCUCCCUGCCGUAGUUAACGCAUUAAGCAUCCCGCCUGGGGAGUACGGUCGCAAGGCUGAAACUCAAAGGAAUUGGCGGGGGCCCGCACAAGCGGUGGAGCACGUGGUUUAAUUCGAUGCUAAGCGAAAA